UGGGGAAUAUUGCGCAAUGGGGGAAACCCUGACGCAGCGACGCCGCGUGCGGGAUGAAGGCCUUCGGGUUGUAAACCGCUUUUGAUUGGGAGCAAGCUUUCGGGUGAGUGUACCUUUCGAAUAAGCGCCGGCUAACUACGUGCCAGCAGCCGCGGUAAUACGUAGGGCGCAAGCGUUAUCCGGAAUUAUUGGGCGUAAAGCGAGCGCAGGCGGUUAGAAAAGUCUGAAGUGAAAGGCAGUGGCUCAACCAUUGUAGGCUUUGGAAACUGUUUAACUUGAGUGCAGAAGAGGAGAGUGGAAUUCCAUGUGUAGCGGUGAAAUGCGUAGAUAUAUGGAGGAACACCAGUGGCGAAGGCGACACUCUGGUCUGUAACUGACGCUGAGGCUCGAAAGCGUGGGUAGCAAACAGG
rnacentral:rRNA from 1 species